AUGCACGCUAGCUAUCGGCUUAACACAUGCAAGUCGAGGGGAAACGGCAUUAUGUGCUUGCACAUUUUGGACGUCGACCGGCGCACGGGUGAGUAUCGCGUAUCCAACCUGCCCUUUACUUGGGGAUACCCCGUUGAAAGACGGCCUAAUACCCGAUGUAAUUCAUUGAUGGCAUCAGAUAUGAAUAAAAGAUUUAUCGGUAAAGGAUGGGGAUGCGUCUGAUUAGCUUGUUGGUGAGGUAACGGCUCACCAAGGCGACGAUCAGUAGGGGUUCUGAGAGGAAGGUCCCCCACAUUGGAACUGAGACACGGUCCAAACUCCUACGGGAGGCAGCAGUGAGGAAUAUUGGUCAAUGGGCGCAAGCCUGAACCAGCCAAGUAGCGUGCAGGAAGACGGCCCUAUGGGUUGUAAACUGCUUCUAUACGAGAAUAAUUUGAUGCACGUGUGCGUUAUUGCAUGUAUCGUAUGAAUAAGGACCGGCUAAUUCCGUG
rnacentral:rRNA from 1 species